AGAGUUUGAUCCUGGCUCAGGACGAACGCUGGCGGCGUGCUUAACACAUGCAAGUCGAACGGAAAGGCCCUUCGGGGUACUCGAGUGGCGAACGGGUGAGUAACACGUGGGUGAUCUGCCCUGCACUUUGGGAUAAGCCUGGGAAACUGGGUCUAAUACCGAAUAGGGCCACGCGCUUCAUGGUGUGUGGUGGAAGCUUUUGCGGUGUGGGAUGGGCCCGCGGCCUAUCAGCUUGUUGGUGGGGUAAUGGCCUACCAAGGCGACGACGGGUAGCCGGCCUGAGAGGGUGACCGGCCACACUGGGACUGAGAUACGGCCCAGACUCCUACGGGAGGCAGCAGUGGGGAAUAUUGCACAAUGGGCGCAAGCCUGAUGCAGCGACGCCGCGUGAGGGAUGACGGCCUUCGGGUUGUAAACCUCUUUCAAUAGGGACGAAGCGUGAGUGACGGUACCUAUAGAAGAAGCACCGGCCAACUACGUGCCAGCAGCCGCGGUAAUACGUAGGGUGCGAGCGUUGUCCGGAAUUACUGGGCGUAAAGAGCUCGUAGGUGGUUCGUCGCGUUGUUCGUGAAAACUCACAGCUUAACUGUGGGCGUGCGGGCGAUACGGGCAGACUAGAGUACUGCAGGGGAGACUGGAAUUCCUGGUGUAGCGGUGGAAUGCGCAGAUAUCAGGAGGGACACCGGUGGCGAAGGCGGGUCUCUGGGCAGUAACUGACGCUGAGGAACGAAAGCGUGGGGAGCGAACAGGAUUAGAUACCCUGGUAGUCCACGCCGUAAACGGUGGGUACUAGGUGUGGGUUCCUUCCUUGGGAUCCGUGCCGUAGCUAACGCAUUAAGUACCCCGCCUGGGGAGUGCGGCCGCAAGGCUAAAACUCAAAGGAAUUGACGGGGGCCCGCACAAGCGGUGGAGGAUGUGGUUUAAUUCGAUGCAACGCGAAGAACCUUACCAGGGUUUGCUAGAAGUGUUGGUUUCCUGAAAGGGAUUCCUUAUUCCGCUUCUACAGGUGGUGCAUGGCCGUUGUCAGCUCGUGUCGUGAGAUGUUGGGUUAAGUCCCGCAACGAGCGCAACCCUUAUUUUUAGUU
rnacentral:rRNA from 1 species